CCCGCCCAUGAAUGGGCGGGCUAUUCGCGAACGUCCCUACGGGACG
rfam:Bacterium TASB14 DNA, scaffold: TASB14_scaffold_2.